UGAGUUUAUCUCGACUAGACAAGGCACUUGGGUUUGAAAGCAUAUAAUGAGGGAAUCUAGGGGUCACACCAAAUACUAGUAUCUUAGCCAUUCCCAAUUAGUUCAUAAUAACCUUGCAAUAGUAAGGAUCUAGUAUGGGGAAUGCCUCGCUAUUAAAAGGGAGUCAUCUUUUUUCUUUUGGAUGCAGGUCAAGUCCAAUCCUCAUAAACAUUUAAC
rnacentral:lncRNA from 1 species